AGAAUCAACGCUGGCGGCGUGCCUAACACAUGCAAGUCGAACGAGAAAGGGGAGCAAUCCCUGAGUAAAGUGGCGACCGGGUGAGUAACACGUGACUAACCUACCCUCGAGUGUGGAAUAACAUCGGGAAACCGAUGCUAAUACCGCAUAACAUCGGCGCUUUUAAGAGAUGCCGAUCAAAGGAGCAAUCCGCUUGAGGAGGGGGUCGCGGCUGAUUAGCUAGUUGGCGGGGUAACGGCCCACCAAGGCGAAGAUCGGUAGCCGGCCUGAGAGGGCGCACGGCCACACUGGAACUGAAACACGGUCCAGACUCCUACGGAGGCAGCAGUGGGGAAUUUUGCGCAAUGGGGGAAACCCUGACGCAGCAACGCCGCGUGGAGGAUGAAGUCCCUUGGGACGUAAACUCCUUUCGAUCGGGACGAUAAUGACGGUACCGAGAGAAGAAGCCCCGGCUAACUUCGUGCCAGCAGCCGC
rnacentral:rRNA from 1 species